rnacentral:lncRNA from 1 species
CUUAAUUAUCCAGAUUUUAAUUUAAGACAAUUUAAGACUUUUUAAGGACCCGCGGGAACCCUGGAGACUCGUAGCUUUACAAAGGGAAAUGGAUGUGUUAGCAGCUCAUAUGUGGAGCAUCUUUUGCUGGAGUGGAGAGUAAACAGCUGGUCUGAAGUUCAUGUUCAGGUCCAGGAGGAGAAAAAAGGUCAGGCGGUUUACUUUUGCUGUUUUUGCAGCUAUAGCUGCACAGCUGCACCAAGAGAUGUGUGGGCAGAAGAGAGAAGCACAUAGCGCAUGGAUCGGAUAAGUAUCCAUUUUAGGACCACAUAUGAAAGUGAUUCAAAUCUGAUCUAAAACAAAAUUACAUAAAAUCAGAUCUGAGCCAUAUUAAGCAAAAAAUCACAUUUGAGUCCCUUCAACCUGGUAAUGUGAACGUAGCCUAUGUUUUAGAUGCAAUUUAACCAGCCAUAUAAGUUAAUAGUGCAAAGCAAAAUAAAUCACAAAAAAAGUGUUGAAAAACUGUAUCAGACGCUGAAGUGAAUAUAUCACUCUUUAUGGGUGCUGUACUCACAUGAAUGAACAGAUAAUUGUCAGUCAUCUUCAGUGUAAAUAAAUAAUAACUGGAAUAAUUGACAGCCUCUGUAAAACAAACCCCUUCGUUUAAAUACUUUUUAAAAAUUGUUUGAUUGUAGACACAGUGGUUUCACCUUGCCUCUCCUCAGGUAAGGUAAGGUGAUAUUUUGAGAUUGCUUUUUACUGAAACACCAAAACCCAUAUGUAUUCAUGGAACUACUUAAUAAUACUCCUUAAAAUGUAAUAGUUUUAAAAAGUUGAUUUAAAUUAUUGCACUGUUUACCUAAAAACAUUUACAAGUUAAACCAAUGUAUACUGUUAGAUAGUCAUUUGUUAAAUGUUCAUUCUUAAGGACAAUGAAGAAACAAAGAGAAAAGCUCCCCCCAAGCUGACAAGCACUCAGAACUGACCUGAAUCUUCAUGUCCAAUAAAAUGGAUCAGAAGACCCGUGAUCUCACUGUGGUGCUGUUUGGGAACAGCUCUGCAGUGCACUUUGGAGAUGAGAACAUCCUGCUUGGGAAAACCCCGACAGGCAAUGCUGAUUUCUCACAGACUGUUCCAGAACCAAGGAAGAUAUCAGGACACAGAGUGAAUGUAAUCAACAUACUGGACCUGCAGGAAAAUGAACUUUACCUGGACUCGGUGGAUCAGACCAUUGACCGUUUGGUCCGUGAAAAUGAAAUCCAUUCCUUCAUCUUCGUACUUCAACUGGGACAGUUAACAGACAGUGUUAAGGGGGGAAUAGAAUGGCUUCAGAACUUGUUUGGUGAAGAUGUUCUACCAUUCACGAUUAUCCUCU